ACAGAACUCAGCCCAUAGCACACAUUCAUCUCAACUAGAGGCCUAUUUUAAUUCUCUGUGCGUAGCCCAUGUUUUCUACUCUGCAUGACAAUGUACUCAAAAUCCAAACUGAGAACUUUGUUUCUGUGGUCUCUAUAGAGGAGGAACAAAAGCAGUCACAAUGAGAUCACUGCAGUCACACAGGCGCGGCAUGGAAAGGCAGAAGCCAUUACAUUGCAGGAUACUCUCAAAUGUUCAGCUACACAGUAUUGAUUCUUGUUUUCCCGGGGAACUUGGAGGACUCAGAACAUGCAGAGGCCCAAACCGCGAAGGCUGCCAGCCAGAGUGGCACUGUGGCACAGUGUCCUGGAGCCGUGCUGUUCAUCUGCGAAGUGCAGGGGCAGGGUGUGAAAUGCUCACUGAGGUCUGAGAAACACAGCAGUGUUGGGGAUCCAAUCCAUGACCUCACACACGAUUGGAAGAUCUUUACCACUGAACUACAUUUCCAGCCCUAAAUAGAUUCUUACAGCGUGCAUGACUUUAUUUUUAUUAACUUUUGUUCUGGCCUUGGAGCAGUUGGGGUGAUUCUUUUUGCCUUUUAAAAAAAUUUGCUCAUGUACUUUUGAAAGCCAUUUCAAAUUCCUUUUAGAUCUAGGUG
ensembl:lncRNA